rnacentral:tRNA from 1 species
GGACGGAUAGCUCAGUGGCAGAGACCCCGGGUGGGGUGACGUGGGUUCGAUUCCCACUCCGUCUA